rnacentral:lncRNA from 1 species
UACCACUCAAUUGAUCAGUAGUAGAUGCAACAGGAGAACCAAAUGAUCUCGUCAUCCUUGCUUCCUAAAACAUCAAAAGAACAUUUUCUUUGAUCAAUCUCUAAAUGAUAGUCAAUAAACCUAAAAAAACAUAAUAUUCUUAGUGAUUCUCAAAUCAUGCUCUGAUACCACCUCUGUCACGCCCCUCAAAAUAUCGAAAAUAUUAAAAAUUUUCAUCACAACUAAUCCAGGAUCCAAACACACAUUUGAGGUCACUAAGAAAACAUUCAGAUCAAAAUUUCACCUCUAUAGUCUACAAAUUUAUAACCCUGUGCAGUUCAUAAACAUACCACACAUCACUCGAUAAUUCAUACAAUUUGAACUCAACUCAUCAAAAUAAUAACCACAACAUAAAUUCACAAGUGGGGAAGUCUAUGCAGUCACCAAACCAA